rnacentral:snoRNA from 1 species
AACGCUAUGAUGAGGUUACCCUAAUGUUGUUUGGCAGUGGUGGCUUUGUUGUCGUGAGCCUUCACAAAAAAAAAAAUGACUUCUUCUUCCACUGAGCAUU